GCCGUCGUAGCUCAGCUGGCAGAGCACUGACUUGGUAAGUCAGAGGUGUUGGGUUCGAGCCCCAACGACGGCU
rnacentral:tRNA from 1 species